rnacentral:rRNA from 1 species
CCUACGGGUGGCAGCAGUGGGGAAUAUUGCACAAUGGGGGAAACCCUGAUGCAGCGACGCCGCGUGAGUGAAGAAGUAAUUCGUUAUGUAAAGCGCUAUCGUCAGGGAAGAAAAUGACGGUUACUAAAUAAUAAACCCCGGCUAACUACGUGCCAGCAGGCGCCGUAAUACGUAGGGGGAAAGGGUUAGCCGGAUUUACUGGGUGGAAAGGGAGCGUAGACGGCUGUGCAAGUCUGGAGGGAAAGGCGGGGGCUCAACCCCCGGACUGCUCUGGAAACUGGACGGCUGGAGUGCAGGAGAGGUAAGUGGAAUUCCUAGUGUAGCGGUGAAAUGCGUAGAUAUUAGGAGGAACACCAGCGGCGAAGGCGGCUUACUGGACUGUAACUGACGUUGAGGCUCGAAAGCGUGGGGAGCAAACAGGAUUAGAUACCCUAGUAGUC